CGGGCUUUGGUGAUCACGAUGUCACCUCCAAAAUCAGCGUCGGAAGGUCAGGGGGUCGCAGGUUCAAAUCCUGUCAGCCCGACCA
rnacentral:tRNA from 1 species